rnacentral:rRNA from 1 species
UAGGGAAUCUUCCACAAUGGACGCAAGUCUGAUGGAGCAACGCCGCGUGAGUGAAGAAGGGUUUCGGCUCGUAAAGCUCUGCUGUUAAAGAAGAACGUGGGUAAAGAGUAACUGUUUACCCAGUGACGGUAUUUAACCAGAAAGCCACGGCUAACUACGUGCCAA